UACCUUUCUUUUCCAACCAAUCCUUAAACUUUUGACAUUCCUUCUUCAUGUGUCCCUUCUUUUUACAAAAGAAACAUCUGGACUCCUUCUUAAUAACUGGCUGAGCAGGAAUCUUUCCCUUCUUAUUAACUUGGUUCUUCUUAUUCUUAAACGAAGUGGUCAAGUUCACCUUCUCCCCUUCUUCAAUCAAUAGCCUUUCUUCUUCUUGAACGCACAUGGUCAAUAAUUCAUUAAUAGACCACUUAUCCUU
rnacentral:lncRNA from 1 species